GGGCCCGCACAAGCGGUGGAGCAUGUGGUUUAAUUCGAUGAUACGCGAGGAACCUUACCAGGGCUUAAAUGUAAGUUGCAUAAAUCAGAGAUGAUUUUUUCUUCGGACUACUUACAAGGUGCUGCAUGGUUGUCGUCAGCUCGUGCCGUGAGGUGUCAGGUUAAGUCCUAUAACGAGCGCAACCCCUGUCGUUAGUUGCCAGCAUGUAAUGAUGGGAACUCUAACGGGACUGCCGGUGCAAACCGCGAGGAAGGUGGGGAUGACGUCAAAUCAUCACGGCCCUUACGUCCUGGGCUACACACGUGCUACAAUGGUCGGUACAGAGAGCAGCCACUACGCGAGUAGGAGCGAAUCUUCAAAACCGAUCUCAGUUCGGAUCGCAGUCUGCAACUCGACUGCGUGAAGCUGGAAUCGCUAGUAAUCG
rnacentral:rRNA from 1 species